rnacentral:rRNA from 1 species
ACGGAAGGCAGCAGUGGGGAAUAUUGCACAAUGGGGGAAACCCUGAUGCAGCGACGCCGCGUGAAGGAAGAAGUAUCUCGGUAUGUAAACUUCUAUCAGCAGGGAAGAUAAUGACGGUACCUGACUAAGAAGCCCCGGCUAACUACGUGCCAGCAGCCGCGGUAAUACGUAGGGGGCAAGCGUUAUCCGGAUUUACUGGGUGUAAAGGGAGCGUAGACGGGUCGGCAAGUCUGAUGUGAAAGGCUGGGGCUCAACCCCGGGACUGCAUUGGAAACUGUCGGUCUUGAGUGCAGGAGGGGUAAGCGGAAUUCCUAGUGUAGCGGUGAAAUGCGUAGAUAUUAGGAGGAACACCAGUGGCGAAGGCGGCUUACUGGACGGUAACUGACGUUGAGGCUCGAAAGCGUGGGGAGCAAACAGGAUUAGAUACCCUGGUA